AAUUGAUUAGUCUAACAAAGACGAUUGUUUUGAAAACAGUAAAUGGCUUGUUUAUCCAUCCAUCAAUUU
rnacentral:tRNA from 1 species